CCUUCGCUCUCUCCUGCCCAGAACGAGCACGCCUUCGACGAGGUCAUCCAGAGCGCCAACUUCACCUCCCACGAAUUCCGGAUCCGAGUCAAGCUGGAGACGUUCAAUGACGAGUCGCGCCUGAAGGCCACGGCCGUGGAGGUGAAGCCCAUCAACCACAAGGAAUACUGCCAGAGGCUGAUCCUGAACAUCCGCAGGAAUGCCGCCCGGCUCGGCUGAGCCCCACGGAGCAGAGCUGGAGGUCGGGUCCCCUCCCCUCCCCUGUUGCUCUGCGGACUUCCUGGCCAGGCCCCCCUGGGAUGGGGCAACCCAGGCGGCCUUCAGUUCUUCACCUCCGUUAAUGCCACUUUUUUGGGCUGCCCACUGCAGUCUCUUCCCUCCUUUUUUCCCCCCUUUGGUAUUUUUAUGCAGAGAAAAUUUCUGUAUUUUUCCUGACUGAAACAAAUUGGGACGUGAGCUGCAGGUGCCCCCUUUCCUUUCUUAAUAAAGAGUGUUUAAUUUUG